rnacentral:rRNA from 1 species
UACGAAGGGGGGCUAGCGUUGUUCGGAAUUACUGGGCGUAAAGCGUGCGCAGGCGGCUUCUCAAGUCAGGGGUGAAAGCCCAGAGCUCAACUCUGGAAUUGCCUUUGAGACUGAGUGGCUUGAGUACGAGAGAGGUGAGUGGAACUGCGAGUGUAGAGGUGAAAUUCGUAGAUAUUCGCAAGAACACCAGUGGCGAAGGCGGCUCACUGGCCCGAUACUGACGCUGAGGCACGAAAGCGUGGGGAGCAAACAGG